GUCCUAGCCGUAAACUAUGAGUACUGAAUUGGAGGGCCCUCCAUAGCCCUCCAGUUGUAGCGAAAGUGUUAAGUACUCCGCCUGGGGAGUAUGGUCGCAAGGCUGAAACUCAAAGAAAUUGACGGGGGCUCACACAAGCGGUGGAUGAUGUGGCUUAAUUCGAGGCUACGCGAAGAACCUUAUCCUAGUCUUGACAUGCUUGGAUUAACCCUAGGAAACUAGGGCCACGCCUUCGGGUGGAACAAGCACAGGUGCUGCAUGGCUGUCGU
rnacentral:rRNA from 1 species